GAGGCGGGGAUAGAUCAAACCGCGACUUCCCGCUGAAAACGCGUGCGCAAACCUCCCACCAGACUCCUCUGUUCAUGGGAUUUCCCGGACAAGAAUACUGGAAUGGGCUGCCAUUUCCUUCUCCAGGGGAUCUUCCUGACCCAGGGAUUGAACCUAUGUCUCCUGCGUCCUCUGCGUUGGCAGGUGAUGUCGUCUCUCUAAUGCUUCAAUCAGCCUGGGAAGAGUCUGCUCGUCAUUGACAUCCAGAAGUUCGCAGGAUGGCAGAGGUGGGAAACUUUGUAAAACCACUUCUGAAACCAGCGGUUCUGUAUGGAGUUGUUUAAAAAAAAAGUCACACAGGAGAGAAAGUGUUAUUCAAACAAGUUUAACACUGGUAAGAGCCCCAGUCCAGUUAACAGUGUACUUUGUUGGGCUCAUCAUAUUUCCUUAAAAAUGAGAUGAGUUGUAAAGAAGAAAAAAAUGUCAGAGUAUAUAAUAAAAGAAAUGUGAUGUAUA